GGGUGAAGGGUAUGGGUGAAGGGUAACUGGGUAUGGGUGAAGGGAAUGGGUAACUGGGUGAAGGGUAACUGGGUGAAGGGUAUGGGUAACUGGGUAUGGGUAACUGGGUGAAGGGUAACUGGGUAUGGGUAACUGGGUGAAGGGUAUGGGUAACUGGGUAUGGGUGAAAGGGUUCAUUCCUUGGCUUGUGAGUGCUCAUUUUGUUUGAAGUUUACCUCCCUUUUAGUGCAGUCCACAUAGCCUAAAUGCUAGACUGAACUUGGAUGCUUUGUGCCAUUGAAAAUACAACCAUUUUGAAUAGGGAAUCAUGACAGAUUAUUUACGUUUACAAUUGCUAUUGUUGAGUUACAUGAAGUUACUCUUUAUUAUUGGUUAACCAAUGAAUCUUGUGAGACAGUGCUUUUUAUUUAUUCAUCAAUAUAUAUAUUUAAAGUGACAAUUCCUCACAUUUAACUGAGGAAUUUGAUUUGGUUUUGAAUCCGGAUUAUUAGAAUUAGUUCAUGACUAUUAAGUUAAAAAUAUAUAUUUUGUUGUUGAUUAUUGUAAUCAUGUUUGGCACAUACUGUAGUCAAUGAAAAGGGCACAUAACGUCUUAAAUGAAGAUGCCUAAAACAGACUGGAUGUCUCUCUUUAUAAUACCUGAACAAUAGUUACAAGACUGCAAGAUGGAUCUUGUUGACUGAAAAGGGAAGUUCUGCCACCAAACAGAUACCAAAUGUUUAUUACUCUACAGUAUUAGAGAGAGAGUUUGUGAUGAGGGUUUUUUAAAUUAGAAUGCACUAUUAUUAUUUGACUACUAGAAACCAGUAGGUUCCCCUGGGAGGGUGGAAAUGGCCGACAGCUAGGCUACUUUCUAGGCUUUUAACUGUCCGAGGCCAGAUAAUGAUUUGGUAUGAGGCACUGCAUUCUAUGCCAAAGCUGGACAUUAUUACUACAUAACAUAGCCCAGUUUGACUCUUUGCACUUUGUUACCCUUAGAGAGGUACAGUACUGUAGUACCAAGCUGACCUGUGCCGUAUAGUAUUUCAUUAGACAACUGCAACCAAGCAUGAAUGAACCCCUAACCCUCUCACAAUUUUCACAACCAGUAACCCUGAGCAAACUAUUUCUGGUUACUCAGUUUUAAAGUCCAAAUUGUUGCCACUAGUUUCUGCACUGGCAUUUGUGUUUAUGCUCUGAGGAACAGUACAAUGUUUACUUUUUGGAUUACUUUUGUGUUUUAUAGAUUUUGUUCAACGAUUGACUGUAUGUGGAAGGUUGAGACCAAGCGGUUUGUUUUAUUAAUCUGCUUUGUUCUGAGGGACCUUUAACCUAGUCGGCCCAUGGACUAGUUAAGUUUGCAUGUUUCUAUGUAACAUUGCACUUUUGUAACCUAGUGCACACACUCACACAUACCCACACUAAUAACCACUUCACUCACGAGUUGCCAAAUGAUGUGUCGAGGGCCUCCGUUGUAGCACAUACUUUGCUCACAUUGAGUCAAGGGUGAGGGAGAAUGUCCCAGCCUCUCCCACACAGGCCUCAGACUGCAACCCGACCCUGACUAGUGUUAAACCGUUUCUCAGCCCCCGUAUGAAACCACCCCUGUCAUGGUGCCAGCUAGCCUGUUUCUGACUAUUUAUAAAGGAUUAACUGUCCACUAUUGUUAUACGAUGAUGAUGAUGAUACUUAUUAUUAUUGAUACAAUUACUCUGUGGAGGGUUGGUACUAAUUAUGAUACUGUCUGUACUGAUAAUGAAAUGCCCUUUUCCUCUUGACGAAGGGAGCUUUCUUGAGGGUCUGUCUGUUUCUCUGUUUGUCCUUGUCUUCGGUCUCUCUUGGUUUUUGUAAAUGAAUUGAAUGGCUGUUUAUUUGGCCCCAUCUGGUGGACAUUACUCUGUAACGUUGCAGUCUAUUGCAGGCAUCAUAUUGUAUCGUAUAAAGGCUCACCGCCAACCGUUCUGUGAGGAAGCCCAGUUCUGAUAUUUUCACUAAUUGAUCUUUUGACCAAUCAACUCUGAAAAAGAUCUGAUGUGAAAAGACCUGAUGUGAUUAGUCAAAGGACCAUUGGUGGAAAACAAAUACCAGAGUUAGACAGGUUGUUUUUACACAGGCAAUGUGACGGACUGACAUACUUACUACUCAACAGUGUUAACAUGCUAGGAGUGACCAAACCCUGCAUGUUCAGAGUUGCACAAACCAGUUAUGAAUGUAUAUUAUGGACCCUGUAUGUUUGAAUAUAUGAGCUGUUUUAAGAUCUCACACUUCAUGUGUGAAAUCUGUGUUUUAAUGUGUUUUGUCUGUCCUGCUCCAUGUCUGGGUGCAAGUUGCAUCCUACUGUGCCUCAUCGACCCGCCUGUGUUCUUCUCACCAACGCUUCUGUUAAUUUAUGGCCAUCUUGUAUCUGUGUCUAGUUUCUCUACGUGUCCAUCUGUAGUGUCUUGCAUUAUACAGACAGGCCCUCCCACUCCUCAGUCUCCAGCAACGAUUGUGCAAUAAACUGAAGUCUAUAUUUUUAAA